UACGAGUGCCCCAAGCGUUAUCCGGAGUCAUUGGGCGUAAAGGGUGUGUAGGUGGCUUCGUUAGUCUUUUGUUAAAUUUCCCGGCUUAACCGGGAACUUGCGAGGGAAACGGCGAGGCUCGAGGAUGCGAGGGGUGAAUGGAACUCAUGGAGUAGGGGUGAAAUCCGUUGAUAUCAUGGGGAACACCAAAAGCGAAGGCAAUUCACUGGCGCAUUCCUGACACUGAGACACGAAAGCGUGGGUAGCGAACGGG
rnacentral:misc_RNA from 1 species